GACGAACGCUGGCGGCGUGCUUAACACAUGCAAGUCGAACGAUGAAACCUAGCUUGCUAGGUCGAUUAGUGGCGAACGGGUGAGUAACACGUGACUAACCUGCCCCUUUCUCUGGGAUAACGCUCCGAAAGGAGUGCUAAUACCGGAUACUCACACCGAGGCACAUGCCUUGGUGUGGAAAGUUUUUCGGAAAGGGAUGGAGUCGCGGCCUAUCAGCUUGUUGGUGAGGUAACGGCUCACCAAGGCGACGACGGGUAGCCGGCCUGAGGGGGCGACCGGCCACACUGGGAGUGAGACACGGCCCAGACUCCUACGGGAGGCAGCAGUGGGGAAUAUUGCACAAUGGGCGCAAGCCUGAUGCAGCGACGCCGCGUGAGGGAUGAAGGUCUUCGGAUUGUAAACCUCUUUCAGUAGGGACGAAGCGAAAGUGACGGUACCUAAAGAAGAAGCACCGGCUAACUACGUGCCAGCAGCCGCCGUAA
rnacentral:rRNA from 1 species